CCUUGCAGUUUGAUCUCAGACUGCUGUGCUAGCAAUCAGCGAGACUCCGUGGGCGUAGGACCCUCCGAGCCAGGUGCGGGAUGUAAUCUCGUGGUGGGCCGUUUUUUAAGCCCGUCGGAAAAGCGCAGUAUUCGGGUGGGAGUGACCCGAUUUUCCAGGUGCCGUCCGUCACCCCUUUCUUUGACUAGGAAAGGGAACUCCCUGACCCCUUGCGCUUCCCUAGUGAGGCAAUGCCUCGCCCUGCUUCGGCUUGCGCACGGUGCGCGCACCCACUGACCUGCGCCCACUGUCUGGCACUCCCUAGUGAGAUGAACCCGGUACCUCAGAUGGAAAUGCAGAAAUCACCUGUCUUCUGCGACGCUCACACUGGGAGCUGUAGACCGGAGCUGUUCCUAUUCGGCCAUCUUGGCUCCUCCCCAGGAAAAAAUUUCUUAAAGUUGUUUUCUCCACUUUUCUGAUGCUGAUCAAAUUUGAAUUCCCACAUCAUAUUUAUGUAUCUCAAGUAUAUUUGACAAACAGAUGCUGUACUGUAUCUCAGGCCUCUUGCCCAACAAAAUGGUGAACAAGACUCCACCUACUUCAAGGAUUGGGAGAAUAGAGAGUGGAAUGGGAACAACUGGUCUAUCAAUGAGAAGAAAGUGCCAACUGAAAACUUUUAGAAAAUACCCAGUUUACUCAAGGAAAAUAACAUGCAUUGAAGGUGAUUGCUCAAUAGAGAGAAGUUGAAACAGCAGACUAAUUGCCUGUUUGUGACACCCAUGUAAUCAACUUGGCCUAUAGGUUGAGGUUGAUCUGAAAGAUAGGACUAUUUGUGAUCCAGAAUCAAAAGAGUCAAGAAAAGUCUGAGAAUUUCAUCCUUGGAGCAGAAAGUGAAAGUGUUCUGGAGCCAAAAGUAGUAACAAAGAUGGAGGGCAAGAGAUCAUUGGAUUAAAUCAUAUUGGCAGACCAAAUUUCAGAAGAAUCAACACACCAGAGACAAGAAGAACUUGAAGUUAAAGCAAAGUUCCCUUAUACUGGAGAAUUCUUCUGCAUUCUCUGCUCAAAUAUGAUGCCCCCCACCAUGAAGAAGAGAUUCACCUUGGAUAUAACCACAAUUUACCCCCCUCAACAGAUCCCAGGAGGCUGCUGCUUACCUACUAGGGAGCCCACCUGCCUCGCUUUCUGCUUCCCCAGUCCUAUCCAUCUUGCUCCAUAUGAACUUUCCCAGGCCCAAGCUGCAGAUAUGAGAAUGAUAGCUACUCAUCAAACCUUUUUCCUUGUCUUGUUGAGCACACAGCUGGACCCCAUUUCAAAGCCUCUGUUGAGGUUAGAUAUGGUCAUGUGCCUGAGUCCUAGCCAAUAGAAUGUAACUGGGAACUGUUGUGUGUCUCUUUGAAAUCUGGCUGAUGAAUACCCACCCCCAUGCUACCCUCCAUGUUGUUUCCCUUUGUACUGACUUGAUGCAAUUGAGCCCAGGAAGCUUCAAAGCUAUAUGCUGAGGAUGGAUUUGAUAUCACAGAGGAAGCCUGGGUCCCUACAUCACUGCUUUGAGAACUGCUGCCCACCUUUUGGACCACCCAUUUUGGACUUAACAUGAGCAAGAAAUAAACUUUUCUGUUUGAACCAUUAUAUAUGUUUGGAUUUGUAUGUUGCAGCAGCUACAAUUACCUUAACCAAUAUGGACCCCCUGAGAAAAGUUGUUGGACCAAUAUGCAUUUAAGCUCAGGUUUCAAUUUUUCACACAUGAAAAAUUAUAAAUACAUAUAACUUUGAGCUUCUUUAGGAAAGAACGAAUACCCUAACUGGCUUGGUAUUCUCCCAGUAAAUAGUUCUUGAAAGGGUAUUUCAUAUAGUAGAAAUUCAAUGACUGCCUGUUCAAAAUGUUUAAAUGUUCAAGUCUUAAGAAAAAAAUGUCAACUACGAGAAGAUUAAGGAUUCAUUUACAUAGUGAGAGCUAAAUGAAGUCUUACUGAAUAAAUAAAUGAAUGAGUGAAUAAAUGGUAUAUUUGAUGAAAAUAAGUCUCACCUUAAGAUUCACAGAGAAAUUUGCUUAUCUGUAAGAUAAGGAUUGUGAUACCUUGCGCUUUCUACCUCACACGAAAUGUGUUAGUAUCAAAUCAGAGAAUUUACUUUCAAGCAUUUACUUUCUAAAUUACCAAGUGCUAGACACAUGUGAGUUCUCCAGUAUAAUUUAGAUAGAUUACUUUAUGUUUUGUCAGUAUGUUGACAGUUUAUUGAUAAUGGAGUUGAAACUCAAGGAAGGAGAAUAAUCUGUGAAGCACUUCUGAACAUCUUGGAGAUUUUUUUAAAAGUUAUAUUGGUGACCUGAAGAUUUUAGACCUCUUAAAAUUCUGAAUUACUAUUAACUUGCAGAUAAAAUAAUGCCAUUAUUUACCACUGGACUCAAGAGAACAUCUUUGUGUAUUAUUGGUACCCUGAAAUUAUAACUAAUCAUAUCCCCUCUGUAUCUCCCUAAGAUGUAUCUGCCACUUCUUAGGUUCCUACUUAGUGAUUAGAGUCAGAAAAGCAUUAAUCAACACUGCUGUGCCAAAUACUAUGGAAAUUCAUUUAACCAUAUUACAUAAUUGAAAUGUCAGAAUGUUUAAACACUUUCUGUCAUAUGAAAAUAUAUUGGAAAUGUCUAGAACCAAGCUGGCAGAGAAAAACACAAGGAAUGUUCUUAUAAAACAAAUGAGAUCUAGCUGGGCAUGGUGGCAUGUGCCUGUAGUUCCAGCUGCUCAGGAGGCUGAGGUGGGAGGACUGCUUGAGCCCAGGAGUUUGAGGCCAGCCUGGACAACAUAAUGAGAUCUCCAUCACUAAAAAUAAAUUUUAAAAUAAUGGAUAAGAAAGAUUUAAUGAUCCAUGGAAUGGUUGUUUGUGGGCUUUUGGUCAGAAGCCUGAGAGUGGGGAUUAGACAAAAGUGGCUGUCCAAUGUGUCAGUGGUGAUGCCAAUCUCUUGCCAGCUGAAAUUGAGAAGUAUAUGCAGCAGGCUUCAAUGACUGCCCUCACUGCUGAAAAGAAUAUAUCUUGUAUUGCCUGGGCAGGUGACCUUCACCAGGGGUUAAGAGAAUUCCUGUGAGUUCAUUGUGAGACUACCUCUCUUUCAUUUCCCAGUCCUUCAUCAGAAAAUUCAAGAGGCUCCUAUCACAUCCUAGAAUAAAGAUUUCCUUUAUGCAGGCUCCAUCCUCCAUCAGUAGGAGUCAAGUGGUAGCCCCAAAUUCUGCAUAUUUCUCUCACUCCUUUCAAACUGUCCAAUACUUACUAGCACUUUCUUCUUUGGAACAUCAUGUCCUAUAUUUCUGUCAUUUCAGUCACAAGAAGUGUAGGGCCCUAGAUCGUCCCCUAUCCCUUGGCCUUUAAUCUCCUUAUGGCUCCAAAAAUUGCCUUUUCUGCCACCAUCUCCCUUCUGCCCCAUCUCCUGAAAGAACUGGAACUUUCUGUCAAGCAUCUAUCAAUUAUCAACCAAAUUCCCUACAUCCCCUCACAUUUCCUUAUUUUAUUUGCUGGAACUAAAACUCACCUCUCCUCAAAGGACCCUGCUUGCCUUGCAGCCUCCUCAAGGGGUGGCUGUUUUCUCUCCCAGACCCCUCAAAGCACUGAGUCUGGAUGUGGGGUAGUGUCCUCCUCCCUCCUCAUUGCUUCUUCCAGAUCAUUAUUCCUCAUUUCUCCCUAAGACUACACAGUUUGAAUGACUUCAAUAUUGCCAAACCUCAAAGUGUAUUUGAGUCUUCAUUUUACUUGAUAGAUCAGCAGCAUUUUACACAGUUGAUCACUCUCUUUCUGCUGAGACAGUUUCUUCACUUGACUUCCAGGACACCACACUCUCCGGCUUGCUUCCUGCUUCACUAGUUGCUCCUUCUCUGUUCCUUUGCUACUUCCUUCUCAUCCCACUUAUCUCUAAGUGAGAGCCCCUGCACUUAAUCUUUGAACCUUGCCUCUUCUCUGGAUACACUUGCUGCCUUAACAAUCUCAUUUAAUCUCAUGAUUUUCUAUGCUUUCUAUAUGUUGAUGACUCUACAAGUUAUAGCUUUAUUCCAGAACUUUCUCCUGAACUUGAGAUGUAUGUAUCCAAGGGCUCACCUGACAUCUUCAUCUGGAUAUUAAUAGGUAUUUCAAAAUUAACACAUGAAAAACUGAGCUCCUGAUUUUUUCUUCAGAUCUUCUUCUCUUGAAGCCCCUCCAACCCACACCAAUCUCAGCAAAUGACAAUCCCAAUCUUUCAGUCAUUCAGGCCAAAAACUUUGAAGGCAUCCUUGACUCCUUUCUUUCUCUCACACUGCACAUCAAAUUUAUCAGAAAACCCUAAUGGAUCCUCUUUCAAAAUAUAUGUAUGGUAUCUGACCAGUUCUUACUGGCUUUACAACUACAACCCUGGCAACUGUUAUCUGUUACUUGGAUUGCUGCAAUAACUUCCUAACUGAUCCUUCUACUUCUGUCCUUGCCUCCUUCAUUUCUAUUCUAAAAAAAAGCAGCCAAAGUAAUUCUGUUAAACAUAAGCAGAAUAUAUCACUCGUUUGAUUAUAACCCUACAAUGGCUUCCUAGCUCACACUGUGUAAAAGUUAAAGUCCUACAAUAACCCUUCAAAGUUUUUGGCUAAGUAUGUAAGAUAUCUAGUGUGAUAGCAUUAAGUGCUGAGGUGGAAAAUUAAAGCAGGGAAUGGAAAUAGAGAGCAUCAAAGAUAGAGUGAUGAUUGCAUUUUAAAUAGACUUGAAGGAGAUAAUAGAGUAUGCCAUACAGAUAUUUAGGGAAAUAAUAUUCUAUGCAGAGAAAAGAGCAGGUGCAAAGGCCCUAAGGCAGAAGCAUGCUGGAAUAUACAAAGAACAGCAAGAAAGCUUUGCGCACUGGAGUGGCAGGAGAUGAGGUGAGACAGGCCUAUUGAUAAUGUCUCUUUCACUAAAAUAUAACAUGCAUGUGGAUAGAAAUGUUUGGCCUAUUUUAUCUACUGUUUUAUAACUAGAACUCAACUCUCAGCUAGCAUUCUACUCACACUGACCAUGUGUUCUGAGUUACAGUGGCAUUUUAUGUUACAGAAUCUUUUUUUGAGACCGGGUCUGGCCCUGUUGCCCAGGCUGAAGUGCAGUGGCGUGAUCUUGGCUCACUGCAACCUCUGCCUCCCAGGCUCAAGCCAUCCUCCCACCUCAGCCUCCCGAGUAGCUGGGACUACGCGCACACCACCAUGCCUGGCUAGUUUUUAUAUUAUUUGUAGAGACAGGGUUUCGCCAUGUUGGCUAGGCUGGUCUUAAACUUCUGAGCUCAAGUGAUCCACCUGCCUUGGCCUCUCAGAGUGCUGGGAUUAUGGGGUGUGAACCACCACACCCAGCCUAUGUUACAUAAUUUCGGUUUUUAGUGUCCAUAAUUACGGUCUGAAAUAGGUCAAGGGGACCCCAUGAUGGUCCUGGGAGAUGAGCAUUGAGACUACAAUGAUAGAAUGGAUCAGACCAUGCUUGAAGGACCUCAGAAGGUCUAGUCAAACUGUCAACUAACCCUCAUAGUUUGCAGAGCUGCUGGGAGACAAAAUCAUGUCCAGAACUCUGGAGCCACAGGAUUCCUUUGGGUCCCCAGAACUUCUUUGGAAAAGAUUAUAAUGGCUUUAACAUCAUUAACGUUUAUUGGGUUUUUACAAUGUAACAGGCAUGGUUCUAUGCACUUUACACAACUAAUUCAUUGAAUUCUCUCAACAACCUAAUGAGGUCAGAACUAUUAUCCUCAUUUUUGAUGUGAGAAAACUGAAGUACAGAGAGGUUAUGUGGCUUCCAAAGUCACAUAGUUUAAAAGUGGCAGAGACUGGAUUCAAAUGUAAACAAUAACCACUGCCGGGGUACCAUGGGAAGUUGUGGUCCAGACACUAAAUCAAGCUGCACCCAAGGUGUCCUAAUCCUACUCCUUCUUUCUCCACUGGAUGAGAGAAAAGGAGCAGGACCUAAGCCUCCUGAUUUUGUGGGAAUUUGCUUUUCUGUUCCAUGUUUCUCCCUCCGCUGCCCUUCUAUGCAUUGAAAUGAUGGGCAGGGGAACAUUUUCCGCCUCUGGAGGCAGGCGAGCAAAGACUCGAUGCACUUCCCCACCUCUUGCACUGGCUCAUACUUUAAUGGCUGGAAGUUUAAAAUCACAUCCCAAGCUUCUUGGAACUCAAAAUUCAGUUAUCUGACUCAGUAAAAUGUAGCUUUCUCACUUAAAAGGAUUUGCCCAAGGGGCCUCUGGGAUUUCAAAUAUACUUAAAAGCAACAACUGUGUUGAAUCAUAGAAUCAUAAGGGAUUGCAUUUCCGCUGGAGAACAGACAGGAUGUUUUAAACAGAGGGGGAAAUGUUUGAAGUUCGCCAAGCUUUGAGUUUCAUCCCACCCACCACAUCUGAAAACUAUCUGAGUCAUUUGAUGAAGGCAAAAUACAGCUGGGCUCCCUUAUUCUUAGUGUUAUUGUGGCCUACCAUCUUGACAUUGUGAUGCUAUCUGUGCAAGAACAUUUCACCUACAUCUACCAACCCUUUUCUAAACUGGAAUCAGGAAGAGUCUGUUCUCCAAAGUCUAUCUGGAGUGGAGUGGGCUGAGGGUGGUGUGGAGUAAAUAUUCUUAUAGACAGAAGGCAAAUACAGCUCUAGACAAAACAGUGAAGAGAAACAGGUUUGUCCAUGGCCCUGAGCUGCUGUCAAGGAGGUUACAGGGCCUUUAUCUCUUUCAUGGUGCUGCAGUAUUGUGUAGUGUGUUUAUGAACGUAGAUUUGGGAGUCAAAAAGAUACACGUUUAAUCUUGACCCUACCCACUUAUUUACUCACUGUGAAUCCUUGGGCAGAUUACUUAACCUUUCUAAUU
rnacentral:lncRNA from 1 species